rnacentral:rRNA from 1 species
UUUUCCCUACGGGACGCAGCAGUGGGGAAUAUUGCACAAUGGGGGAAACCCUGAUGCAGCGACGCCGCGUGAGUGAGGAAGUAUUUCGGUAUGUAAAGCUCUCUCAGCAGGGAAGAGAAUGACGGUACCUGACUAAGAAGCCCCGGCUAACUACGUGCCAGCAGCCGCGGUAAUACGUAGGGGGCGAGCGUUAUCCGGAUUUACUGGGUGUAAAGGGAGCGUAGACGGCUGGUCAAGUCUGAAGUGAAAGCCCGGGGCUUAACCCCGGAACGGCUUUGGAAACUGAGCAGCUAGAGUGCUGGAGG